rnacentral:lncRNA from 9 species
AUCGCUAGCUCUCUGCUCCUCAGACUUGGCUUGCUAGCAGAAAAGCAAAACCAGGGCAAAAAGAACAAAGAGACGCUGGCAGAAGGCUGGGCUACACUUGGCCAGGCUACUGCAGGCCAAGGGCCUGAAGAUGCAUCUGAACACUCCUCCCCGCCUCAGGGUUUAAAAUACCCACACUUCCUGCUCCUCAGAGAGGGUAUGCAUAGAAUGCUCGUGACUCACCAGCGGUGGUUUUCAAAUGUGUCUGUCAUAAGGACGCAGCAUCAAAAGCCCAUCCUGUUUCAGAUGUUAUUUUUUCCACUCUCAGCUAUGCAGCGCUAGAAAAGCUGAAUGCCCGAGACCGGGGUUUGUUUUGAGUGCAGAAAGUGAAGGACGAUUUCAUUGUACUGCAGCAAGUCAAAACCCAACUCUUCAGGGGAAGAAAGAAAAAAGGAAAAAAAGAAAAAAAAAAAAAAAAAAAAAAAGAGAGAGAGAAAAAACAACCCACGUGUAAACAGUGUGGAGAUUGAGUUUCAAAGCCCUUGUUUUUGAAAAGUUUAAUUAUAUUUCAACUAAAGCCAAACUGUCAAAACAUGUGCCUGCUUUGAAAACGCAUUAGCCGUCUUAUGUAAAAGCCCAUAAUUGAUGUCCAGAGGAAACCGGAGCUGUGCGGUGGGGGACCACUCAGAAAAGCCCCCGCUGCUGCACUUCCCUGUCGACCACGUGCAAUCCUAGACCUCGGCUCCUGAAGUGGGACAUCGGAGAGGAGAACAAAAGGGGAAGCCCGAAAUACCCUAAAGGGGAGGGUUUAAAAUGUCAGGCCUGGUUUCUGGACCCCGAGGCCCAGCACGCUCUUAGUGAUCACUUCCAUAAGGGGAAGCCCGAUAGGGAGCCUCAGAGUCCUGGCGACCGAUUAGAAACAUCAGCAGCUCUUCCUCCUGAGAACCUUCUUCCUCCUGCCCGGCCCUCGGGCCUGAGGGUCGCCUGGGGGCUGCUCUGUUCUGUGCUGACCCCUCCUAUCUGCCUGGUUUUCUGGUCAUUUCCCUUCUUCCAGAUGCUGCUUACUUCCUCCAGAAGAGGACCUGGGAGGGUGGAGACUGAGCCCACUCUCCUCCGCUGAUCUUCUAGAACUUUCUAGUCUCCAGUGCAGAGAUUCGGACUUUUCUGCUUGUGAUGUCUGUGCUCAGGAUGCACAAGCAGAGCCAACAGAGUGGGAAGACGACCCACACCAGGCCUGUGGGCCACGCCUGGAUGCUGGAGGCCUGCCUUUGCCAACCUCCAAAGGACUUCGAAGCCAGCAGAAACCACUACGCAGCUCACAUAAUGAUAGCUUUCUCCCUUCUUCUUCCAGACAGUUUGGAUCCUUAAAAAAAAAAAAAAAAUUGCUUUGGGGAAGCAGCAGAGGGUACAGGAAACUCAGAAACUGGCCGCCAAUGGAAAACAGGAAAGGAGCGCCUCUAAUUAAAAGCAGCCAGCUCUCUGCUCCAUCUGCAGCACUGGGAGCCUGGCUGAGAGGGGCUGUUCCCGUGCUGGCACUGUGGGCUGGGGGCCUGAAUAGACCCUACAGGGGAGCACUCGGGGCCCUGGAAGAGGAGAGUCAGGGUUUUGUCAGGUCCUCUCCUGAGCUGUCUGCACCCCACCACAUUCCUCCCACUUGCAUCAAAGCCCAUGCUGGGCUCUGGGCUGGGUGCUCAGAUAUAUAGCAUUUGUCACAAGCUUCAGAGCCUCUCUGAGCCAUCUUCCAUAUCCUUUGUUGCAGACAGAAAAGUCUCCUUUCAAUUUUUCUAAGAAACACUCUGAGCACAAGGCAUUUACUGCAGAGCAUGGUUGCUGGAGCCUGCAUUUCCGAGAUCUUCGCGCAGUUAUGCAUACGCGGGUACACAGCCAUGCUGUGUACAGAUCAGCGGUAUUUUAUUUAUUCUAUAGAAGGCUCAGAGAUGGUGAGCAACUGGCACACGGCAAGUCACUCAUUCCCAUAAUACAUGAGUGUUACACGCCAUGGAGGCAUUAGAGAAACAAAGAUGAAAAAGAUAUUGUUCCUGUAAGAUUGUAAGGAAGGGAGAUACCUCUGGAUCCAACAGGAAUACAGCAGGAAAAGGGGCAGGAUAUGGCGCCAGAAAGGCAUAAAUCACACUCAGAGGAGGCAGAGAGUCAUUCUGCUGGGUGGAUGGCACAGGAGUGAGUUCAGACAUCACACUAGGGUGACAGGCUAAGUGGGGGUUUGUGGUAUUGAGGUUAAGUGUCUCAAUCAGGGAUAUUAGGCACAUUGUGGUGGUCAAAGGGCCAGCUGGGGGGAUUCCCGUUGUGGCUCAACAGGUUAAGAACAUGGCAUUGUGUCCGUGAGGAUGCGGGUUUGGUCUCUGGCCUCACUAGUGGGU